GGUUUGCUUUGAGAAAAGCCAGCUCGGGAGUGAUUUCUGUGUGUGUGUCACGGUUUGGUAAAUGUACCCCUUUAAGAGGCUUUGCCUAAAUCCCCACGCACACCUUCAGCCAGAUUUGAAUACAGAUUUCGGGUGUUCAAAAGCCCCGUCGCGGGCAAAAUCCAAAAAGAGAGAGAGAAAGAGAAGGAGAGGGAUCCUAGAAACUCCUUCUUGGGGUUUCCAGGCACGAGGAGGCCCCCAUCUCUCUACACAAACCCCCCAAGUGGAGAGAGAAAAGAAGGAGAGCAGGGUCAGGAGACUUAUUUUCAGAGGAUGCAACGUUUCCACAAGGGACCUCCUUUUUUGGUUGAGUGUUGUGUGUAGACAGAGGAAGAAACAAACCCAAGGAACAGCCUCCAAUGGGGGAAAAAGUUGGGAAGUUUUGUCAAGCUGGGAUCAUGUGCCUGUUUGCUUUUCCCUUCUUUAUUUUUUGACUCCUUGACUUCAUUCCUUGGACGACUCUCCAGCCAAGGAAGGACCUCCAACUGGGGAGAAGUAACUCAGAAGAAGCCAAUUCCACUCCCAAACGUUUUGCGACAAGUAACUUUGCGGCUGCUGCUGACCUUCUCUCUUCCUCUUCUUCCUCCAUCUGGGAUGCCAGCCCUCCUCGCCUACCGCUGUAAUAAAAUGCAGAGACACCCUUCCUAAUGAAGUCGGAGUGUUCCUGCGCAUUGCUUCCGCUCUUCCAGUGGAUCAGAAGUCAUCUCCAACAUUUGAUAAUUCUACAGCAAUGAUGGGAGUGUCCUAAAAGAUUUCUCCAGAAGAAGCCUGCCAUGGUCUUCCACUGAGGCUGAGAGUGUGUGACUUGCUCAAGGACGCUCAGUGAGUUUCCAAGUCUGAGAGGGGAAUAGAACUCUGGCCUCAAGUUCAACACCCAGACUACUACACCUAGCUGAAUCUCCUUGGAUUUUCUUGGCAAGAUUUCUUCAGAAGUGGUCACCAUGCUCUUCCUCUGAGGCUGAGAGUGUGUGACCAGCUCAAGGCCAAUCAGUGAAGCAGCUUCUAUUCUGAGAUGGAAUUUGAAGGAUGGUCCUAGUCUAAAAUGCAAGCCAGCACUACACAUAGUUUUAGCGAUUUAACACAUAUGAAUACCCCAUAUAUAUACAGUCAGUCCUUUUCUAUUUUGGGUUUCACUUUUGUUGAUUGGAUUAAUAUGUCCUCUUCACAUUCUCCAACAUAUCUCUAUGGACAACUUCUAGAGGAUCUAGAUUACUAGAGAGAUGUUCCCUUGGGUUAAAUAGAAUUAGCACUUUAAAGGCCGAGAGGAGGCUGUUGAAGCUGUUUGCAAUUUAUAAUGUAGAUUUCAAAGUAUGUAUGUAUGUAUGUAUGUAUGUAUGUAUGUAUGUAUGUUUAAAAUGCAGUAGCUAUGUGCCAAGUGUAAUGUAUUCCUGUGUGGAAAGAGUUAACUGAACCAUGGAGGGAACGGCACUCCUAGAGAGAUCAUAAAUCAAGUGUAUAGAAUAAAUGGACGCAGUGUAGUGUCAUGCGUCAUUCUGGAAUGCAAGAGGUGUGGACUAGUACUGAUAACAGUUAGUGUGUUGACAAUGUUACAAUCCGACGGUAAAGAAGCAAGUUUACGAUGUGCUGAGUGUUAUUUAGCUUCUAAUGUAUAUAGGUGUAAA